rnacentral:ncRNA from 1 species
CACCCGUGUCUAUCGUACCUUGUUGCUUCGGCGGGCCCGCCGUUUCGACGGCCGCCGGGGAGGCCCUCGCGCCCCCGGGCCCGCGCCCGCCGAAGACCCCAACAUGAACGCUGUUCUGAAAGUAUGCAGUCUGAGUUCGAUUAUCGUAAUCAGUUAAAACUUUCAACAACGGAUCUCUUGGUUCCGGCAUCGAUGAAGAACGCAGCGAAAUGCGAUAAGUAAUGUGAAUUGCAGAAUUCAGUGAAUCAUCGAGUCUUUGAACGCACAUUGCGCCCCCUGGUAUUCCGGGGGGCAUGCCUGUCCGAGCGUCAUUGCUGCCCUCAAGCACGGCUUGUGUGUUGGGCCCCCGUCCCCGGUUCUCCCUGGGGACGGGCCCGAAAGGCAGCGGCGGCACCGCGUCCGGUCCUCGAGCGUAUGGGGCUCUGUCACCCGCUCUGCAGGCCUGGCCGGCGCCAGCCGACACCCCAACUUUAUUUCUCUAAGGUUGACCUCGGAUCAGGUAGGGAUACCCGCUGAACUUAAGCAUAUCAAUAAGCGGAGGAAAAGAAACCAACAGGGAUUGCCUCAGUAACGGCGAGUGAAGCGGCAAGAGCUCAAAUUUGAAAGCUGGCCCCCUCGGGGUCCGCGUUGUAAUUUGCAGAGGAUGCUUCGGGUGCAGCCCCCGUCUAAGUGCCCUGGAACGGGCCGUCAUAGAGGGUGAGAAUCCCGUCUGGGACGGGGUGUCUGCGUCCGUGUGAAGCUCCUUCGACGAGUCGAGUUGUUUGGGAAUGCAGCUCUAAAUGGGUGGUAAAUUUCAUCUAAAGCUAAAUACUGGCCGGAGACCGAUAGCGCACAAGUAGAGUGAUCGAAAGAUGAAAAGCACUUUGAAAAGAGAGUUAAACAGCACGUGAAAUUGUUGAAAGGGAAGCGUUUGCGACCAGACUCGCCCGCGGGGUUCAGCCGGCAUUCGUGCCGGUGUACUUCCCCGUGGGCGGGCCAGCGUCGGUUUGGGCGGCCGGUCAAAGGCCCUCGGAAUGUAUCACCUCUCGGGGUGUCUUAUAGCCGAGGGUGCAAUGCGGCCUGCCCG